AGUACUUUAUUUUAAAGCUCUAUAAAAUCUAAUUUCUUCUUGAGACUUUUCUAAUGUGCCUUCAGGUCAUCAUCCGAUUGUAUCUGUUAACGUCGUAGUUUAAAUUCGGAACAACUUUGGGGAGAUGUAUGACACCAUAUUGAGAUAGAGAAAAGAAAACCAUUACAUCUAACAAUAGUAACAAUGUGCCAUAGACUUCACACGCUGAGACCGUAUCCGUAUAAUACGCAUGCAGCAUAUCAAUGCUUACGCCUACCAUUUCAAGCUUACACCAAACAUAAUGACGAAUAACGCUGUAACUAAACGCAACACAAUAAAAUCAUCACUAACGAGCUACACGUAUAAAAGCAACAAUAUCUAUUGCGAUAACUUUGAACCCAUAAUCAACAUUGACGCCGUAUUAGACCAUCAAUCCACCUUAAUUUUCAUUGUUAUGACUUUCUCCAUCCAUAUUUGAAAAUGGAACUUUCGUUUCGAAAUUCCAAAUUCAAGUUCAAUGACAGAUGACGCAACGAAAGUGACAGCUUAUUUUUUUUAAACCGUUUACGGAUAAACUUUCAUCACCUGUCGGAGUUGAGCGGACGAUUUUGUUUUUCUUUUUAAUUGCUUUCACUCGAUUUUUAUGGCAACAUUGCAAUUAUCGUGAGUUUAAUGCGUAAUAAAAAUAAAAGCGAAGGUCUGAGAAAGCAUUUUGUGUAACACCUGUUUCUUUACGUGAAACACGUUUUAGUACAUUGUGCAACGAGGGGGGGUAAGUGAAAUUUCGGAUACGAGGGUGGUAAUUCCCGACAGCCGCAGGCUGGAGGGAAUUAAAGACCCGAGUUUGCAAUAUUCUUACCCCCGGAGUUACACACAAUGUUUUUCAUCACACUUGCGAAGAAAAAACUAAAUUUUAAGCGAAAUAAUUCUUAAAUACGGUGACAUAUCAAACGUUUGUCCGCAAUUUUGUAAUUUCUCGACAGGUUAGGCAUCGAAG